rnacentral:tRNA from 1 species
GCCCUGUGAUGAAGCUGGCGUGUCAGCCUGUCUGUCUAACAGGUGAGACGGGUUCGAUUCCCGUACAGGGCG